AAUAUAAUUUAAAUAUAAAGGAUAAAUUUAUAAAUAAAGAACAACAAAGAUUUCAUAAGAAAUAUAAAGGGGGUGCCAAUCGCGUCACUCAUGCAAAUUAGUAACAGGCGAGGACACGUACAUGGUAAACUGACACGUCGGAUCAAUCAAAGGUACGAAUACAAAUUAUAAUUGCUUGCACAUGUGACAUAUGCACGUACAUAAGUUGGUUUACAAAACAAAGUCAUUUUCGAAUUAUUUCUUGCACUACAAUUAAAACCCAAAAAAAAAAAAUCUUAUCGCACCAAAUCUAAAUAGCAUGAUAGCUCAGUUUGUGAUUCCAAAUGAGCCACGCGAAGCUCUUGGGAGUUGGGACAUGCCACUGAUAAUUCUUCUGGGGGCUGUUUAUUGUUCGUUUCUGGAUACAGUAUAAAUCACAACAACUUUGGAAGCCUGACAUCAGCCUGGCUACUGGGAACAGCAUCGAGUGUUUGUAGUAAAAACCGAUAAGGAAGAAAAGUUGCAAAACAUCAAUCAAUAAUACUUUUUUUUUAAUUGCCUUUUAAUCUUUUUAAGGGGGCCGGAAAAUUGCGGAUGAUCAAAUAAUUGUGGGGUUUUUUGGCAACUACCUGCGUAGAUUACAAUCGUUCUGAUGUCAUGUGUGACGAUUCUUUUUCCUUUUUCUUUUAUUUGUUUAUUUUUUUAAUGUUGUUUGCAUUUACUUUCUUAAAGGACAACGAGACUGUGGGUGCAUGACAGUCGUCCAGUUUUGUUUGAAAGGCGGAGGAAAUGAACAGACUCUGACAACCGGUUGUUGCCAAAUAUUAUGAGCGGUCCUACGUGUGGGUGAACACCGAACAAGACUAAAAUGAAAUGGCCUUCUUGAUAACUAUGCAGCAGGUAGUGACGAUAACGAGCUCGUUUUGAUCAUAAUACUCUUUAAUAUUAUAAAUUAAA
rnacentral:lncRNA from 1 species